UACGAAGGGGGGCUAGCGUUGCUCGGAAUCACUGGGCAUAAAGGGUGCGUAGGCGGGUCUUAAGUCAGGGGUGAAAUCCUGGAGCUCAACUCCAGAACUGCCUUUGAUACUGAGGAUCUUGAGUUCGGGAGAGGUGAGUGGAACUGCGAGUGUAGAGGUGAAAUUCGUAGAUAUUCGCAAGAACACCAGUGGCGAAGGCGGCUCACUGGCCCGUUACUGACGCUGAGGCACGAAAGCGUGGGGAGCAAACAGG
rnacentral:rRNA from 1 species